rnacentral:lncRNA from 1 species
CAGUAAAUGUAUACAUGCUUAGAAAAUAUGGACCAAAGUAUGAAGUAUCUCCUUGUCAUAUUUCCUCAGAAAAAAAGGAAAAACACGUAAAUCUACUCAUUAUUCAAGAUUUUUACAUAGAUGAACAUGAUGAAAAUAAUCGUGCUGAUGAUGGAAUCUUGCCUAAAUAUCAUUACGUCUGGAUCAAAAGCAUGUCUCGUCUUCUGAGUUCUCAACUGUCUAAAGCCAACAUAAAAUCUUACCAUUGUGAAAGGUGUUUACAAAUAUUCUAUAGUGAAGAAAGAUUAGAAAUUCAUGAAAAUAACUGUAAAAAUAUGAAUAACUCUCGAAUUAAUUUACCUGACUCUAAGAAUAAUAUUCUAAAAUUUGAUGAUUAUAGUAAGAGCGAAAAAGUACCUUUUGUUAUUUAUGCAGAUUUUGAAUGUUUAUUGAAGCCUACUGAGAAUGAGAAUGCUUACCAACUACAUGAACCAUACAGCAUAGGGUACUACAUAAAAUGCAGCUUUGACGAUAGCUUAUCUGGCUAUAGAUCAUACAGAAGAAAAAAUGAAGAAGAAGAGACAGCUGAGCAUGGUUUGUUCGAGAAUUGAUCUCAAUUGGUGAGAAAAUUGACGUACUCUACAAGAAUCCAAAACCAAUGAGACUCUCCGAUUUGGAGGAAAUAUAUCUUUUCGAAGAUCAACAACUUGUCAUAUAUGCCGAAAACCAAUCCAUGGCGAAGAACUUGCUGUACGAGACCGUUGUCAUCUCACAGGGCGUUUCAGAGGUGCAGCUCACAACUCAUGUAACAUGAAUUAUAAGGAUUCAAGAUUUAUUCCUGUGGUUUUUCAUAACCUCAAUUACGAUACUCAUUUUAUUUUAAAAGAGAUUGCCACUUCAACGUUGAUGAAAAGACGAGUCACUCUAAUACCACAUAAUAAGGAAACAUAUAUUUCAUUCACGAAGUAUACAGAUGACUGUGACAUCAGUUUUAGAUUCAUAGAUUCUUAGCGAUUUUUACCGUCAUCAUUGGAAAAGCUUGCAUCAUAUCUGAAAAAUGUGCCGAUAGCAGUAAAGGAAUUUCGAUCAGAUAGACUUACAAAUGAAAAGAUAGAUCUCCUUCGACGAAAAGGUGUAUUUCCAUAUGAUUUUGUAAAUGGAUUAGAUAAUAAGCUAACAGAUUCUCAUAUUGCUGAAGAAGACUAUAAGCAUGCUGUCCAAGUUUGGGAUAAGUUCAAUAUUAGUACGUUGGGAGAAUAUUCAGAUCUUUAUCUGAAAACCUAUGUUUUACUUUUGGCCGACGUUUUCGAGAGUUUUCGAAAAACAUCUCUUAAAGCCUAUGAUUUAUGUCCAGCUCACUUUUAUAUGACUCCUGGACAAACUUUUUCAGCAGCUUUAAAAAUCACAAAGGUAGAAUUGGAGCUUUUUACAGAUAUUGACAUGCUAAUGUUUAUCGAAUUGGGCAUUCGAGGUGGAAUAAGUCAGUGUUGUAAUCGGUAUGUCAAGGCAAACAAUCCAUAUGUGGGUUCUUCAUACGAGAAGGAUAAGAAAACAAAGACUCUUUUAUAUUUUGAUAUCAACAAUCUUUAUGGAUGGGCAAUGGUACAGCCUUUACCAGUUGGAAAAUUUGAAUGGAUUGAUUAUGAGACAAAUCCAAGUUUUUUCAAUACACUGCCAGACUCUGAUAUAGGCUAUUUUGCUGAAGUUGACUUGGAGUAUCCAGAAGUAAUACAUGAUGAUCAUAGGGAUUUACCUUUUUGCGCAGAACAUCUUGCACCACCUGGUUCCAAGCAGAAGACUUCUCACGACUUUGAAUGACAAGAAACGGUAUGUCAUUUAUUAUCGAGCACUUAAGCAGGUCUUAGAUAAUGGACUUCGAUUAAAAAAGGUGCAUGGGAUUUUGAGUUUUGAGCAGAGGGCGUGGCUCAAACCAUAUGUUGAAUUUAACACAUAAAAAAGAAAGCAGGCAAAGAAUGAGUUUGAAAAACUCUUCUACAAAUUGUUAAAUAAUGCAGUCUAUGGAAAGUGUAUUGAACGUGAGCAGAAACGUGUAGAUGUGCGAUUAGUAAAUAAAUGUACAGGCAGAUACGGAGCAGAAGCACUCAUAGCUCUGCCAAAUUUUCACAGUUGUGCAAUCUUCGAUGAAAAUUUGGUUGCCAUACAGCUGAAGAGGACAAGUAUUACAAUCAAAAAACCAAUAUACGUUGGUCUCUCAAUUCUAUAUUUGUCAAAAACAUUAGUAUAUGAUUUACAUUAUUCAUAUAUGAAAAAGCGAGUUGGAGAAAAAUGCAAACUCCUGUAUACGAACACUGAUAGUUUAAUAUAUGAAGUUGAGGAUGUAGAUAUGUAUCAAGUAAUGAAAGAAGUUAUACAUAAAUUUGAUACUUCGGAUUAUGACGAAAAUAAUCGGUUUGGAAUUCCACGUGUUAAUAAAAAAGUUCCUGGAUUGAUGAAAGACAAAUGCUGUGGCAAGAUUAUGACAGAAUUCAUUGGUUUAAGAAGCAAAAUGUACAGUAUUUUGAUUAAUGGAGCUGCUACAGUGAAAAAAGCCAAAGGUAUAAAAUCUAGUGUUGUAAAGAAAUCAAUCACGUUCGAAGAUUAUCGAAAAUGCCUUCAGGAUCUUGUUAUUAUAAAACGUGAGCGUAAUAUUUGUUUAAAAUUACACAUUGUGCAUACUGAAAAACAGGAAAAAAUUGCUCUAAGUCCACAUGAUGAUAAAAGAUUCUUAUUGCCUCAUAGUACAGACACUUUGCCUUGGGGACAUUACAGAAAUAUGGAAGAACAGAUGGCGCAAGCUGCAAUGCAAGUAGAGGGGGAUGCGGAGGAGGGGAUCGCGGUGGAGGAGAGGGGCAGAAAUUGUGGUGGGAAACGGGCUAUAUGAACGGGCGAAGCACGAUGAAGAGCACAUUCGAGAAAUCGAAGCGAACAACCAACCUUGUGCAAAGAGACCAAGACUCACCUAACUCUAAAAUAAAAUGGAUCUAUCUGCACUCAACAAGAUUGCUGAGCGCGAGUUCUUGCCUAAGAAGAAAGUCACGGACUUGGAAAAAGAUCAUGGUGACUGCACUCAAGGAAGUAAAGACGAAAUUCGGCACAAAGAUCGUGGCUGAGAUCGAAGGCAGCUUUCAAAUAUUUCUACCCGGGAAGAUCUCAUCAGCAAUCAUGAAAGAUCAAGAACUUUUCAAUAAUCUCUCUAACACAGCUAAUAAACUUAGUUUAUUCAUAUCAUAUCAGGGUGGAACUUCUUUUAAGUUCAGCACAUGCUAAAAUAAUGAAAUAUAAAGACUGAUUAUUGUUAAAUACUAUUUAUUUGUUUAAACUUGUAUGUAAUCUACAUGAAUAAAUACAUUAUUAAAUAAUAACAUUUGCUUUCUUCUGUAUUUGAACCUUAAGUAAUUCAUACAAUCUCAUUUUUAUUUAUCCAACUAUUGUGAUCGCUACUGAAUCCUAACCAUUAAACAUAUACACGUUUACCACUUUUCUUUAAAACUUUUUCUACGAAAAAAA